GCAUUGUCACCUGAGCCGCUAACUGGAAGCCCGCGAAAUUCUUUCCUCGUAGACGCAUGAGACGCUCCGUGAAGUUUUAAGUGUUUGGAAGUGCAUCUAGCGUUUGGUCUUUGGCCGACUGUACCCCCGCAAAGCAAAGCCAGCCGUGUGGACAGUGAAGAAGCAGAUAUUGCACGCUGAAAACAUCACCUCAUCACAGAUGCAUCGUGCACUCUGAGUUGACAGCCCCUUCUUGUGUGCUUCGACAAUCACUAUUCUUGGGACUCAACAUACAACAGGACACUAUCUUGUGGUCUCCAGAGACGAGUACAACCUGCGCUAUGGGAAACCGGUACACAUCUUUGUGGAAACUGGCCCUGAGACGUUUCUGAAGAUCAGGAGUAGAGAUCACAAAACGAAAAACUUUGUGUCAGUAACAUGUCUUGAGGAGCUAAUCAGAGUUGCUGUGGGUCAUGGAAUUUGUCAGGAGGGCAACAUACAGGUGUAUUUAAUGGAUGAGUUAUCACUUCGCUCUAUGGUUGCUGGUGCUGAGAAAUGCCUCGAUGACAUUUUCAUUGUUAAAAAUGGACU